rnacentral:rRNA from 1 species
UACCUGCAGCUCAAGUGGUGAUCGUUAUUAUUGGGCCUAAAACGUCCGUAGCCGGUCUUGUAAAUGCCUGGGUAAAUCGUAUGGCUUAACUAUACGAAUUCCGGGUAGACUGUUAGACUUGAGACCGGGAGAAGCUAGAGGUACUCCUGGGGUAGAGGUGAAAUUCUGUAAUCCUAGGGGGACCACCAGUGGCGAAGGCGUCUAGCUAGAACGGGUCUGACGGUGAGGGACGAAGCCCUGGGGCGCAAACGGGAUUAGAUACCCCCGGUAGUCCAGGGUGUAAACGCUGCUUGCUUGAUGUUAGUCUGGCUCCGAGCCAGAUUAGUGUCGGAGAGAAGUUGUUAAGCGAGCUGCCUGGGAAGUACGGCCGCAAGACUGAAACUUAAAGGAAUUGGCGGGGGAGCACAGCAACGGGUGGAGCGUGCGGUUU